rnacentral:rRNA from 1 species
UACGAACUGUGCAAACGUUGUUCGGAAUUACUGGGCGUAAAGGGCGCGUAGGCGGCCGCCUAAGUCAGACGUGAAAUCCCUCGGCUCAACCGGGGAACUGCGUCUGAUACUGGGUGGCUUGAAUCCGGGAGAGGGAUGCGGAAUUCCAGGUGUAGCGGUGAAAUGCGUAGAUAUCUGGAGGAACACCGGUGGCGAAGGCGGCAUCCUGGACCGGCAUUGACGCUGAGGCGCGAAAGCCAGGGGAGCAAACGGG